GUGCCAGCAGCCGCGGUAAUACGGAGGGUGCAAGCGUUGUUCGGAAUUACUGGGCGUAAAGAGCGUGUAGGCGGCCGAUCAAGUCCGGUGUGAAAGCCCGGGGCUUACCCCCGGAAGUGCGCUGGAAACUGAUCGGCUCGAGUAUGGGAGAGGGAAGUGGAAUUCCUGGUGUAGCGGUGAAAUGCGUAGAUAUCAGGAGGAACACCGGCGGCGAAGGCGGCUUCCUGGACCAAUACUGACGCUGAGACGCGAAAGCGUGGGGAGCAAACAGGAUUAGAUACCCUAGUAGUCC
rnacentral:rRNA from 1 species